rnacentral:SRP_RNA from 1 species
GCCGGAUGCCGUGGCUCACGCCUGUAGUCCCAGCACUUUGGGAGGCUGAGGCGGGCGGAUCAUGAGGUCAGGAGAUCGAGACCAUCCUGGCUAACACGAUGAAACCCCGUCUCUACUAAAAANNNNNNNNNNUUUUUAGUAGAGACGGGGUUUCAUCGUGUUAGCCAGGAUGGUCUCGAUCUCCUGACCUCAUGAUCCGCCCGCCUCAG